UCCGAAUUGGUGUAGUGGUUCAACAUUGCCGCCUCUCAUUUCGUUACGUAAUUCAUGUGGCGUGACUUUCGCGGCAGCCAGGGGUUCGAUUCCCCUAUUCGGAA